AUUCAAGCACUGGGUUAGCUGCACCCAGCUAGUGGAAUCUUGUUUCUGAUAAACAAAUGAUGCAAGAGGAGCAGCCUCUUUAGGUUGCAAGAUGCACAAAAAUAAUAAACCAGAAUUCUGAGGAAGCAAAGUAUGUAAUAAAUGUUAAGCAAAUUUCCAAGUUUGUUGUUGGUUUGGGCGAUAAAGUUUCACAAACAGAUAUUGAAGAAGGCAUGCGUGUCAGGUAAGUUUAAUUUUCCACUCUAUAUAUAGUUUCCAUUAUUUAUUUCUUUGACUUUCUUUCCUCUUUUUUUUUUUGGAAAUGGCUUUCCAAUGUUUUGUUCAUCUUGGAUUUAAUUAGGAUGUUUCAUUCAUGAUAAGACAUGCAAUUGUAAUUGACAUGACUAUUACUCUUUUACCCUGGCUUUGGGACUAGGCAUGGUAGAGGCACACAUUGACAUCACUCACAGCGCAAGCCACCACUUCUUUUGAAA